UGGGGAAUAUUGGUCAAUGGGCGAGAGCCUGAACCAGCCAAAUCGCGUGAAGGAAGACUGCCUUAUGGGUUGUAAACUUCUUUUAUACAGGAAUAAAAAAGGGGACGUGUCCCUUAUUGCAUGUACUGUAUGAAUAAGCAUCGGCUAACUCCGUGCCAGCAGCCGCGGUAAUACGGAGGAUGCGAGCGUUAUCCGGAUUUAUUGGGUUUAAAGGGUGCGCAGGCGGGCUUUUAAGUCAGCGGUGAAAUCUCGGGGCUUAACUCCGAAACUGCCGUUGAAACUGGGAGUCUUGAGUAUGGAUGAAGUAGGCGGAAUUCGUUGUGUAGCGGUGACAUGCUUAGAUAUAACGAGGAACUCCGAUUGCGUAGGCAGCUUACUAAGCCAUAACUGACGCUCAAGCACGAAAGCGUGGGGAUCAAACAGGAUUA
rnacentral:rRNA from 1 species